CAUGGGGGAGUAGUCUUGUAGGAUUGAGCUCUCAACCUGUGGGAUCUGACACUAUCUCCAGGUAGACAGUGUCAGAAUUGAGGUGAAUUGUAAGAUACCC